UACGGAGGGUGCAAGCGUUAUCCGGAUUCACUGGGUUUAAAGGGUGCGUAGGUGGGUUUGUAAGUCAGUGGUGAAAUCUCCAAGCUUAACUUGGAACUGCCGUUGAUACUAUAAAUCUUGAAUGUUGUGGAGGUGAGCGGAAUAUGUCAUGUAGCGGUGAAAUGCUUAGAUAUGACAUAGAACACCAAUUGCGAAGGCAGCUCACUACACAAAUAUUGACACUGAGGCACGAAAGCGUGGGGAUCAAACAGG
rnacentral:rRNA from 1 species